rnacentral:rRNA from 1 species
ACCCUGGGGAUGCCUUAGUACGGCGAGUGAGCGGCAAAAGCUCAAAUUUGAAAUCUGGUACCUUUGGUGCCCGAGUUGUAAUUUGGAGAGUACCACUUUGGGACUGUACUUUGCCUAUGUUCCUUGGAACAGGACGUCAUGGAGGGUGAGAAUCCCGUGUGGCGAGGGUGUCAGUUCUUUGUAAAGGGUGCUCGAAGAGUCGAGUUGUUUGGGAAUGCAGCUCUAAGUGGGUGGUAAAUUCCAUCUAAAGCUAAAUACAGGCGAGAGACCGAUAGCGAACAAGUACAGUGAUGGAAAGAUGAAAAGAACUUUGAAAAGAGAGUGAAAAAGUACGUGAAAUUGUUGAAAGGGAAGGGCAUUUGAUCAGACAUGGUGUUUUGCGCCCCUUGCCUCUCGUGGGCUUGGGACUCUCGCAGCUCACUGGGCCAGCAUCGGUUUUGGCGGCCGGAAAAAACCUAGGGAAUGUGGCUCUGCGCCUCGGUGUAGAGUGUUAUAGCCCUGGGGAAUACGGCCAGCCGGGACCGAGGACUGCGAUACUUGUUAUCUAGGAUGCUGGCAUAAUGGUUAUAUGCCGCCCGUCUUGAAMCMACGGACMA